CGGCAAGCGGUGAUCGCUAUCGAUAUUCAAGGGUCUUCCAAAGGAGAAGAGAAGGCCAUGAAACAAAACUACCUCAAGAAUCUGGAAAGUUUGAAGCUUGCGGAAGAUUUGGCUUAGAAGUGGUAUGAGAUGUUUUCAUUUAACUUCCACUGGUCUUGCCCAAGAAAUAGCAUACUUGCACGGACAUAAGGAAGGUGUUCCUUGUGGACGACAUAGUUAUAAAAUAUGCUGAGCGUCACAAUCUCUUGCGCCCCGAAACGGUUGAAUCACUGUUUAUCUUAUCACAGAAGAUCCCAAGCCUUGCCACUUGCCAGUUGUAGGGAUAAUUCAUCCCGACAGCCAGUCAUCCCUCGGAUCAAAUUCACGAGUUCGAAGAUUGGUGAAUUUCUGCUUGCAUCAGCUACUUCUAGGUUGACUUUGUAUGUGACUAAUGAUGUAUGAAAUAUUAUAUGGAAGGAACUUAAUAUACUGAGACUCACAUCUAUGGAUUGGUAAAAGUCCUGCCGGAAGUUUCACUAGGUGAUUGCUGAGUUAUGCAAUUAGUUAGAAUUUACAUACCCAGUGGGGUUGUAAGACAACCAUGUAAUGAUUGUACGAUUUUUUCUUACAUUGUUAUUAGCAUAAAGAACACAUAGAAUGAUAGGUCAGUGUUAAAAUGUCUGUAUACUAUUAUUUCUUUGACUUGGCUUUGCCCUA